rnacentral:lncRNA from 1 species
CUUUUCUGCCUCCGUCUUCUACUACUCACCAGCCCCCUUCCACAGUUAGGCCCUCCCUGGUCGUGGCUCAAAAAUCCCUGUCUUGAGAAAGACCUUUAAAGCAAAGAUACUUCAAAACACUGAAACAAAACUGACGGCAGUGGUGAAUCCAUUACCGAGGCUUGGGCAGAGCUCACCUUACCUCAUUUGUCUGCAAAAAAUUCCUGCUUGUGAGUUCGACUCACUGCUGAUCCAAAUUUCUAAUCUCUCUCUCAGUAUUGUAGCCGUUGUUUGGUGGCCUUUUUCUAAUGUGAGUCUCCUAGCAAAUUUUUGUGCUAUAAUACAAGUUAGUUAUUUGAAGAAUUUGAGUUCUUUAGUUGCUCUGAGACUUCUGGGUAUAAUACCCUUGCUGCCUUGAAAGGUUAAAUUGUGACUGCACUAGGGAGAGAGAAAAUAUUUUGGUGGAGCUGUGUGUAAAUGAUUUUGACAAACCAAGUCUUUAAAAGACCAAAAGCAUAUCGACUGUGGUUUCAAAAGUGAUACAAAAAUAUUUUGUAUUGAAAGCGUAGUUCCCAUGUUUGUCUUCUGAUUCCAAAUUACUGAACUGCUUCUUGUAGCUAGCAGGUUUAAAUAAUGCUUGCUGAGAAAGGAAGAGGGCUUUCAUGGCUUUUCUUAAGUGAUGUUUUUGUAGUUCCCUCUAGGUAGACCUAAAUUUGCAUUCUUUUCGUGAUCACUUCUUGUUUUGAAACUGUAGCUCAGAAGGAGGCAAGGCCCAAGCACUGUUUUAGGUCUCUACAUCCAGCUUCAAGGUAAAAAUCGUGUUCGGCCUUGCAAAAUGGCAGUAAGGAGCAGUUUUUGUCCCCCACUGCUCUAAGUGAUCCUUCAGAACUCUGUGGCUUACGCACACCAAUGCCCAGUGCUUAGCCAGACUA